rnacentral:rRNA from 1 species
GACGAACCGUGCGAACGUUGUUCGGAUUCACUGGGCUUAAAGGGCGCGUAGGCGGGCAAGCAAGUCCGGGGUGAAAUCUUUCGGCUCAACCGGAAAAGUGCCUUGGAUACUGCUUGUCUUGAGGGAGGUAGGGGUCAUGGGAACUCCGGUGGAGCGGUGAAAUGCGUUGAUAUCGGAAGGAACGCCGGUGGCGAAAGCGCAUGACUGGAUCUCUUCUGACGCUGAGGCGCGAAAAGCUAGGGGGAGCAAACGGG